AUAAAAUACACUCGAGGUCAACACCACAAAAGCUAGUCAGCUUUAUUUGUUUCUGGGUCGCGUUUCCUGAGUCUUUCAUCACCGUAGAAAAACAGGAUUCAUCAGCAGUUUGGAUGCAAAGGAGGAUGGGUCGGGUUAAAACCAGUAGAAAUUUCUGCAUGAGGCCCAUCGGAGCAGCCAUUACUCAUCAAGAAAGAUGGUGAGUUUUUCAGAGUCUGAGGAGCUGAAGCCAGAAAGG